rnacentral:rRNA from 1 species
UACGGGGGGGGCAAGCGUUGUUCGGAAUUACUGGGCGUAAAGGGCUCGUAGGUGGCCAACUAAGUCAGACGUGAAAUCCCUCAGCUUAACUGGGGAACUGCGUCUGAUACUGGAUGGCUUGAGUUUGGGAGAGGGAUGCGGAAUUCCAGGUGUAGCGGUGAAAUGCGUAGAUAUCUGGAGGAACACCGGUGGCGAAGGCGGCAUCCUGGACCAACACUGACACUGAGGAGCGAAAAGCGUGGGGAGCGAACAGG